rnacentral:sRNA from 1 species
AGAGACCAAGGCCAGGCAAUCCAAAGCAGAUAUUCAGGGUUAUGUUUUAAGGGAGGGUCAUCCCAGCAACCUACUUGGAGUUGCAUUUCAAUGUCAUGGAAGCCAAAGUUAUGAUACUUGGCUUUUCUAGUCACAAAAGUGUCUGUAUCCUCUUCAUGAUCUUAGCUGCUUAUUUUCAUACUUACAGACAUAAUUCACCAGGCACGGUGGCUCAUGCCUGUAAUCCCAGCACUUUGGGAGGCCAAGGCAGGUGGAUCACUUGAGCUCAGGAGUUCAGGACCAGCCUGGGAAACAUGUUGCCCUCAAAUUGGCUGUAGCCACACGGAUAUAAGAAAGUCAGAUCUUAUCCAGGAUGAAGCACUUAGAAGGGCGAUUGAGAACCAUAACAAGAAAAGACAUCGUCAUUCCGAGUAGGAAAAGCCACCUGCCUGCAGGGACACCAGCAGCCUACCUCCUACCCCAGCCAUCUGUUGAGAGCAGUGCUGACCCCAGCAGUUAGGGACUGGCUGCAUAGCAUACUUGUUGGGGGUAAAACUUUAUGCUUUUAUGUGUGCUUGAAAACAUUUUUCAAAGUUACACAACAGAAAUGCAAGCAUAUUGUUUAUUUUUAAGUGUUCUAUAAUGUUAAAUAAAACUUUGAUCAUC